rnacentral:rRNA from 1 species
CUGGGCCUGGUGGCGAUUGAGUGCUGCAGGAAAAGGCAAGCCUCUCGCCUCACCUGGCUGCGUGCGGGUGACGCCCCCACCAAGUUCUUCAUGGCCAAGAUCAGCUUGAAGAGGCGCAAGAACUUCAUCCAUGCUCUGAAGAUAGGUGGAAAUGUGGUGACGGUGCACGAAGACAAGGAGGAGGCCAUCCACGAACACUUCAGUAGCAUCUUGGGCACAUCCCAACACUGACCCAUGUCGAUCAACUGGACCCAGCUCCAAAUUCCAUUGGUGCAGGGAAGCGGGCUGGACAACCCAUUUUCGGAAGAAGAGGUCUGGGCUGCGAUUAAGGCCUUGCCAGCUGAGAAAUCUCCAGGGCCGGACGGCUUCUGUGGAGUGUUCUUCAGAUCAUGUUGGAGCAUUAUAAAGGAAGAUAUCAUGAAGGCAUUCCAUCAAUUCUACCACCUGGCUGGCCAGAAUCUUGGGGCACUGAACUCCGCAAUCAUCGCGCUCAUACCCAAGAAAGACGGAGCCGGCUGCAUUACCGACUAUAGAACGAUCAUCCUAAUCCAUUCAAUAGCUAAACUGAUUUCCAAGGUGCUCUCGAUCUGCCUCACAGCAGUAGUGCAGUCCAUCAUCUCCCAGCCCAGAUGGCUUUCCUGA